ACUGCAUGUGGUGGUGCAUGCCUGUAGUCUCAGCUACUUGGGAGGCUUAGGCAAGAGGAGUGGUUGAGCUCAAAAGUCUUGGGCUGUAGUGCACUAUGCCGGUCUGGUAUCUGCAGUAAGUUUGGCAUCAGUAUGGUGGCCUUGACCUCCUGGGAGCAAGGGACCACCAGGUUGCCUAAGGAGGAGUGAACUAGCCAGCUUGGAAACAGAGCCGGCCAGUAUCUUGUGCUGCUCAGUAGCAGGAUCACACCUGUGAAGAGCCACUGCUAUAUAGGCUGGGCAACAUAGCAAGACCCUUUCUUA
ensembl:misc_RNA Metazoa_SRP Metazoan signal recognition particle RNA